rnacentral:tRNA from 1 species
GGGGCUGUAGCUCAUCUGGGAGAGCGCGGCGUUCGCAAUGCCGAGGCACGGGGUUCAAGUCCCCGCAGCUCCACCA